rnacentral:rRNA from 1 species
GUGGGGAAUCUUGCGCAAUGGGCGAAAGCCUGACGCAGCCAUGCCGCGUGAAUGAUGAAGGUCUUAGGAUUGUAAAAUUCUUUCACCGGGGACGAUAAUGACGGUACCCGGAGAAGAAGCUCCGGCUAACUUCGUGCCAGCAGCCACGGUAAUACGAAGGGGGCUAGCGUUGCUCGGAAUUACUGGGCGUAAAGGGCGCGUAGGCGGACAGCUUAGUCAGAGGUGAAAGCCCAGGGCUCAACCUUGGAAUUGCCUUUGAUACUGGCUGUCUUGAGUUUGGGAGAGGUGAGUGGAACUCCGAGUGUAGAGGUGAAAUUCGUAGAUAUUCGGAAGAACACCAGUGGCGAAGGCGACUCACUGGCCCAAUACUGACGCUGAGGCGCGAAAGCGUGGGGAGCAAACAGGAUUAGAAACCCCGGUAGUCC